GAGUAACACGUGGGAAACCUGCCCAGAAGCGGGGGAUAACACCUGGAAACAGAUGCUAAUACCGCAUAACAACUUGGACCGCAUGGUCCGAGUUUGAAAGAUGGCUUCGGCUAUCACUUUUGGAUGGUCCCGCGGCGUAUUAGCUAGAUGGUGGGGUAACGGCUCACCAUGGCAAUGAUACGUAGCCGACCUGAGAGGGUAAUCGGCCACAUUGGGACUGAGACACGGCCCAAACUCCUACGGGAGGCAGCAGUAGGGAAUCUUCCACAAUGGACGAAAGUCUGAUGGAGCAACGCCGCGUGAGUGAAGAAGGGUUUCGGCUCGUAAAACUCUGUUGUUAAAGAAGAACAUAUCUGAGAGUAACUGUUCAGGUAUUGACGGUAUUUAACCAGAAAGCCACGGCUAACUACGUGCCAGCAGCCGCGGUAAUACGUAGGUGGCAAGCGUUGUCCGGAUUUAUUGGGCGUAAAGCGAGCGCAGGCGGUUUUUUAAGUCUGAUGUGAAAGCCUUCGGCUCAACCGAAGAAGUGCAUCGGAAACUGGGAAACUUGAGUGCAGAAGAGGACAGUGGAACUCCAUGUGUAGCGGUGAAAUGCGUAGAUAUAUGGAAGAACACCAGUGGCGAAGGCGGCUGUCUGGUCUGUAACUGACGCUGAGGCUCGAAAGUAUGGGUAGCAAACAGGAUUAGAUACCCUGGUAGUCCAUACCGUAAACGAUGAAUGCUAAGUGUUGGAGGGUUUCCGCCCUUCAGUGCUGCAGCUAACGCAUUAAGCAUUCCGCCUGGGGAGUACGGCCGCAAGGCUGAAACUCAAAGGAAUUGACGGGGGCCCGCACAAGCGGUGGAGCAUGUGGUUUAAUUCGAAGCUACGCGAAGAACCUUACCAGGUCUUGACAUACUAUGCAAAUCUAAGAGAUUAGACGUUCCCUUCGGGGACAUGGAUACAGGUGGUGCAUGGUUGUCGUCAGCUCGUGUCGUGAGAUGUUGGGUUAAGUCCCGCAACGAGCGCAACCCUUAUUAUCAGUUGCCAGCAUUAAGUUGGGCACUCUGGUGAGACUGCCGGUGACAAACCGGAGGAAGGUGGGGAUGACGUCAAAUCAUCAUGCCCCUUAUGACCUGGGCUACACACGUGCUACAAUGGAUGGUACAACGAGUUGCGAACUCGCGAGAGUAAGCUAAUCUCUUAAAGCCAUUCUCAGUUCGGAUUGUAGGCUGCAACUCGCCUACAUGAAGUCGGAAUCGCUAGUAAUCGCGGAUCAGCAUGCCGCGGUGAAUACGUUCCCGGGCCUUGUACACACCGCCCGUCACACCAAUGAGGAGUUUGUAACCACCCAGAGUCGGUGGGGUUAACCCUUUGAGGAACCAAGCCGCCCGUAAGAUGGACGGGUCCUUGG
rnacentral:rRNA from 1 species